GCCUCAGUGCAUCAUGGGAAGAGGAGGGAGGACUGGGAGCUGUGUUACCUUGGUAACCCCGGGGCCUGCUGGGAAACCAGACCAGGCUAGGAGAAAUAUGUGAAUAUCUCUAUUAUUUACAUGUAUGCUUUUGGUGAUUCUGUGAUAUAUUUACAGUAUUACUGCACUAUGAGUUCACAGAACAUCAUCCUGUGUGCAGUAGAGGAAUACAAUGAAGAUGCCACCUGUCGGGAUCCCAACACCAUUCAGAAUCCCGACAUCAGAACUCCUAAUGAGCCAGGAGACCAACGCUGCCAUCCAGAUAUACGGAAUCCCUAACGCAGAGCACGGCCACUAUUUCCCUUAGAGACCAAGCACUGCUAUCACUAUAAGGCUGCAGUCUACAAGGAGUCUCCUGCCACAGGCUGACAUCCCAUCUACAAUCCUUCCAAAGAGCUCAUCUUACACACAAUGUCAUACUGUAUGGCUCAAGUGGACAUACAUAUCUUUACUGGAUGUGGACAAGGCCAUUUAGCUAGGAUUCCAUUUCAGCUUUUACUUACUGCGUUUGAUACUCACAAUCAAGAUGAGGGGUGUGUGGAUGACGUCUUGGAGGUGUGUCCAAAAUUUGGAGUGGGGGGACAGAACAUACGGACGAUAAUCUUCGUGGCGGGGUAGCCUGCUGUGGUUGGCCCGGGACAUACGACCUUACUUUCUUUUCGGCCACGUUUUUUGUGGUGAUGUCUUACAGAAGUGCUACUUCUGCUGCUCCAUACUUCUUUUGUUGGACCUUUUAAUGAAAGUGCAAUUUUUUUAUGGCCAUUCCUUUACAAACAUACCCUAUACUACAAUGGACACUUUACCUGCUUCCGCAGCGUCAUCAUCAUCAGAUGUGAUAGGAGUUACUGGCCGACGAGUAGUACUGCUUUUUUCAAACACUGUAUAAAAUAAAAAAUAAAAAAUUAUUCAUGCUAUUGUGGAUAC